rnacentral:rRNA from 1 species
UACGGGGGGGGCAAGCGUUGUUCGGAAUUACUGGGCGUAAAGGGCUCGUAGGCGGCCAACUAAGUCGGAUGUGAAAUCCCCAGGCUUAACUUGGGAACUGCAUCCGAUACUGGAUGGCUUGAAUCCGGGAGAGGGAUGCGGAAUUCCAGGUGUAGCGGCGAAAUGCGUAGAUAUCUGGAGGAACACCGGUGGCGAAGGCGGCAUCCUGGACCGGCAUUGACGCUGAUGAGCGAAAGCCAGGGGAGCAAACGGG